GCCGACCCGGUGCUCCUGGUGGACACGCUCCCCUGGUACGGGAGAGAGGAGGGUUCGACUCCCUCGGUCGGCUCCA
rnacentral:tRNA from 2 species